rnacentral:lncRNA from 1 species
UGGUCUGAUGGUGAAGAGGACGGUCGUAAGGAAUGGGGUGCAGGAGGUUGUGGGUUCGAGUCCCAUCAUCAACAAAAAAUGGGAGUUAUAAGGGUGGUUUGAUGGUAGGGUGUAUUAAAGAAAAAGAAUGUAUUAAAGAAGAAACAAAACCUGCACAAUAAGAUUAGGAAUGAAUUGGGCUCGGUGUAUUAAAGAAAAAGAAUGUAUUAAAGAAGAAACAAAACCUGCACAAUAAGAUUAGGAAUGAAUUGGGCUCCUCUCGAGUCUAGUACUGGAAAC